UACGGGAGGCAGCAGUGGGGAAUAUUGCACAAUGGGCGCAAGCCUGAUGCAGCCAUGCCGCGUGUAUGAAGAAGGCCUUCGGGUUGUAAAGUACUUUCAGUCGUGAGGAAGGUGUUAAGGUUAAUAACCUUAGCAAUUGACGUUAGCGACAGAAGAAGCACCGGCUAACUCCGUGCCAGCAGCCGCGGUAAUACGGAGGGUGCGAGCGUUAAUCGGAAUUACUGGGCGUAAAGGGCACGCAGGCGGUUAAUUAAGUUGGAUGUGAAAUCCCCGGGCUUAACCUGGGAAUGGCAUUCAAGACUGGUUAGCUAGAGUCUUGUAGAGGGGGUAGAAUUCCAUGUGUAGCGGUGAAAUGCGUAGAGAUGUGGAGGAGUACCGGUGGCGAAGGCGGCCCCUGGGACAAAGACUGACGCUCAUGUGCGAAAGCGUGGGGAGCGAAACAGGAUUAGAUACC
rnacentral:rRNA from 1 species